rnacentral:rRNA from 1 species
UACAGAGGGUGCAAGCGUUGUUCGGAAUUAUUGGGCGUAAAGCGCGUGUAGGCGGCUUUGCAAGUCGGACGUGAAAUCCCUCGGCUCAACCGAGGAACUGCGUCCGAUACUGGCAGGCUGGAAUCCGGGAGAGGGAUGUGGAAUUCCAGGUGUAGCGGUGAAAUGCGUAGAUAUCUGGAGGAACACCGGUGGCGAAGGCGGCAUCCUGGACCGGUAUUGACGCUGAGGCGCGAAAGCUAGGGGAGCAAACGGGG